UACGAAGGGGGCUAGCGUUGUUCGGAAUUACUGGGCGUAAAGCGCGCGUAGGCGGUUUUGCAAGCCAGAGGUGAAAUGCCUGAGCUCAACUUAGGAAUUGCCUUUGGGACUGCGAGGCUUUGAGGACUGGAGAGGUGAGUGGAAUUCCCAGUGUAGCGGUGAAAUGCGUAGAGAGUCGGGAGGAAGGCCGGUGGCGAAGGCGGCGCUCUGGAACGUUUCUGACGGCUGAGGCUCGGAAAGCGUGGGGAGCAAACAGG
rnacentral:rRNA from 1 species